CAAGCAGUUCAGUUUGGUGGUUUGAUGGUUUGUGAUCAUCCAUCUUCCUCUUGAUUAUAUUCCAGAGGUUUUCAAUUUGGUAAAAUCAAAGUUUUGAAAACUCAAUUUUUAAGUGCUCUCUUAUUUUUUUCCAAAGCUGUAUACAACGAGAUAUGCAAAGUAGAGGAUGAAAGCUCAGGUCACAUGGUUUAUAAAGGAAUAAAUAACAUGUUACAGAUGUUCUACAGAAGAUGAAUCAAUUAAUUAAACAGACAGGGACAGAUUAAAGGGUAAUAGUAUUUUAUUACAACACAGUAUGUUACUCCUCCUCCGCAGCGUUCAGAAGCUAAAGACAGCAGUUCAUUCUUUCUGUCGUUUUUCUACAUAUUGCACAUAUUGUUUAUUAAAAACGAGGACUAUGUUUGUAGUUGAACAGGGGGGACUUUAACAUCUGCAACAGUAACUUAUUGCUAACAUAAGAGUGAAUCAGACUGGGCAAUAAUAAUAAUUUUAAUAAUAAUAAUAAUAAUAAUAAGGAAAUAUGUAUUAUUCUACACCACUCUACCCAACUCUGUAAAUUUUCUUUUUGAUCUGUGAGGAAUAAAACCAUAACUGAACUGAAA